CCCCCCCCAAGAAGUCCCAGCAUGUCACAUCAGCAUCCAGCCCUUCAGGAUCAGCUCCUAUAUAGGCUAUUAGCUAAAAUGAUACUGAAAAAAAAUGCACGGCGAACUGGGAGCCCUGAACUGGGAAGCAGAUGUCCUUCUAAGGGACACCCUUGAUGCAUCAAGGUGGUGCAAACGCCAAACAUUUAAAGGCACCGUUUCCCUCCCAGGUCUAAUUGGGAUCUACAGGGAAGAUCGCAUUACAACCCUUUAAGAACUACGGUUGUAUGAUGGCCUGGAUGAAGAGAAACAUAUUCUCGUCAAGGAACCAUUCAUGUUACAGAGAGAUUAUGAGAUGUUCUACGUGGAGGCAGUUGACAACAAGAACAUUACUGUCUUUGCCUCUGCUGAGGAGCAGGAGUCAAGCCAUUUUUGAGGAGAGGUCAAACCUUGUUUUUGUUGUGUUAAUUGUUUCAGUUGUUAAUUGUGUUGUUUAGUAAAGAUGAUGUAAAAGUCA